AAUGAACGCUAGUGGCGUGUUUUAUACAUGCAAGUCGAGCGAAGAUUAGCCUGCGGUCGAAGGAAAUUUGUCCGUAGUUUCUACGGACGAUGAUCUUUUGGCUAAAAGCUAUUCUUAGCGGCGAACGGGUGAGUGACGCGUGGAUAAUCUACCUCUGAGUGGGGAAUAACAUUUCGAAAGGAAUGCUAAUACCGCAUAAUGUUAUUCUACCUCGGUAGUAUAACCAAAGUUAGAAUCUUUGAUUCUUUCGCUCAGGGAUGAGUCCGCGUCCCAUUAGCUAGUUGGUGAGGUAACGGCUCACAAAGGCGACGAUGGGUAGCCGGCCUGAGAGGGUGUACGGCCACACUGGGACUGAGACACGGCCCAGACUCCUACGGGAGGCAGCAGUAGGGAAUCUUCCGCAAUGGGCGAAAGCCUGACGGAGCGACGCCAUGUGAACGAUGAAGGCCUUCGGGUCGUAAAGUUCUGUCAGAGGGGACGAUGGUUGAUUUUCGGAUUGAUUGACGGUACCCUCAGAGGAAGCUCCGGCCAACUACGUGCCAGCAGCCGCGGUAAUACGUAGGGAGCAAGCGUUAUUCGGAAUUACUGGGCGUAAAGAGUGCGUAGGCGGUCAGGUAAGUCAAAGGUGAAAUCUCUGCUCUUAAGGCAGAAACUGCCUUUGAUACUGCUUGACUCGAGGACAGGAGAGGGAAGUGGAACUCUGGAAGUAGCGGUGAAAUGCGUAGAUAUUCAGGGGAACGCCGGUGGCGAAAGCGGCUUCCUAGUCUGUCUCUGACGCUGAGGCACGAAAGCUAGGGUAGCGAUCGGGAUUAGAGACCCCGGUAGUCCUAGCCGUAAACGAUGGGUACUAAGUGUGGGGGGAGCAUUACUCUCCGUGCUGAAGCUAACGUGUUAAGUACCCCGCCUGGGGAGUACGGUCGCAAGACUG
rnacentral:rRNA from 1 species